rnacentral:rRNA from 1 species
AGAGUUUGAUCCUGGCUCAGAUUGAACGCUGGCGGCAGGCCUAACACAUGCAAGUCGAGCGGCAUCGGGAAGGUAGCUUGCUAUCUUUGCCGGCGAGCGGCGGACGGGUGAGUAAAGUCUGGGGAUCUGCCUGAUGGAGGGGGAUAACUACUGGAAACGGUAGCUAAUACCGCAUGAUGUUACGCGACCAAAGCGGGGGACCUCCGGGCCUCGCGCCAUCAGAUGAACCCAGAUGGGAUUAGCUAGUAGGAGAGGUAAUGGCUCCCCUAGGCGACGAUCCCUAGCUGGUCUGAGAGGAUAACCAGCCACACUGGAACUGAGAGACGGUCCAGACUCCUACGGGAGGCAGCAGUGGGGAAUAUUGCACAAUGGGCGCAAGCCUGAUGCAGCCAUGCCGCGUGUGUGAAGAAGGCCUUCGGGUUGUAAAGCACUUUCAGCGAGGAGGAAUGAAGCAAUGCAAAGAGUGUUGCUAAUGGACGUUACUCGCAGAAGAAGCACCGGCUAACUCCGUGCCAGCAGCCGCGGUAAUACGGAGGGUGCGAGCGUUAAUCGGAAUUACUGGGCAUAAAGGGCACGUAGGCGGUUUCUUAAGUCAGAUGUGAAAUCCCCGAGCUUCACUUGGGAACGGCAUUUGAAACUGAGAGUCUAGAGUUUUGUAGAGGGGGGUAGAAUUCCAGGUGUAGCGGUGAAAUGCGUAGAUAUCUGGAGGAAUACCGGUGGCGAAGGCGGCCCCCUGGACAGAGACUGACGCUGAGGUGCGAAAGCGUGGGUAGCAAACAG